AGCAUAUCAAUAAGCGGAGGAAAAGAAACUAACAAGGAUUCCCUUAGUAACUGCGAGUGAAGAGGGAAAAGCUCAAAUUUAAAAUCUGGCAGUGUUUUCACUGUCCGAGUUGUAACCUAGAGAAGUGUAACCUGCGCUGGACCGUGUAUAAGUCUCCUGGAAUGGAGCAUCACAGAGGGUGAGAAUCCCGUCUUUGACAUGGACCACCAGUGCAUUGUGGUUGUGCUCUCAACGAGUCGAGUUGUUUGGGAAUGCAGCUCUAAAUGGGUGGUAAAUUCCAUCUAAAGCUAAAUAUUGGCGAGAGACCGAUAGCGAACAAGUACCGUGAGGGAAAGAUGAAAAGAACUUUGGAAAGAGAGUUAAACAGUAUGUGAAAUUGUUGAAAGGGAAACGUUUGAAGUCAGUCGCGUUGGUUGGGGAUCAGCCUGACAUUGUUGGGUUUACUUCCUGGUCGACGGGCCAACAUCAGUUUUGACUGCCAGAAAAAGGCCAAAGGAAUGUGGCACCCUUUGGGUGUGUUAUAGCCAUUGGUCGUAUAUGGUGGUUGGGACUGAGGAAAGCAGCGUGCCGAAAGGCCGGGUUUCGACCACGUUCACGCUGAGGAUGUUGGCAUAAUGGCUUUAAGCGACCCGUCUUGAAACACGGACCAAGGAGUCUAACAUGCAUGCGAGUGUUUGGGUGGAAAACCCUUACGCGUAAUGAAAGUGAAAGUUGAGAUCCCUGUCGUGGGGAGCAUCGACGCCCGGACCAGAACUUUUGGGACGGAUCUGCGGUAGAGCACGUAUGUUGGGACCCGAAAGAUGGUGAACUAUGCCUGAAUAGGGUGAAGCCAGAGGAAACUCUGGUGGAGGCUCGUAGCGAUUCUGACGUGCAAAUCGAUCGUCAAAUUUGGGUAUAGGGGCGAAAGACUAAUCGAACCAUCUAGUAGCUGGUUCCUGCC
rnacentral:rRNA from 1 species